rnacentral:lncRNA from 1 species
CACCACGCCAACAUGUAGAACUUUCUCAAAAAAAAAAAACUCCAGCAUGUAAAAUAUUCUAUGCAAAAUAAGUGGGUAAAAGAUGAUCCAAGCUAUGGAUAAAACCAUAAAUUUUAGCACAAAUAUGAAUCUAACAAUUACAACUUCAUCUCACAAGACCGAGAAAAGACGGACUACGUACCAGAGAUUUAGGGGUACGGGGAGAUGAAUCGUUGUGACAUUCUCUUCUACAGUCACACAUACAAGGACAAUAAGAUCAUAUACAAAAAUACAUGUAUUUGGGCGAUAAGAAAAAUAGUUAAUAUUAUUAAAAUGUCAUUAGAGCUUACAAACAAUGUUUAGAGUUAUAUUUAGAAGAAAUUGGAGUCCUACUUGGAGGAAGCCACAAUGAUCGGAGUUCUCGCGGAUAUGAGAAGGUGGCUGGAUAGGUAACGUAGUUCCCACCUGCAUCAAAUGAAAAUUAUUAUAAAAAAAAUUACUCGACCACUACUGGACCUGACCCCCGGGCCACGGCGAGUCAAACCAUUUAACCAAGACUCAAUGAAAAUUGUGACUACUGAUAAAGUAUCUACUGCCACCAGUCACAAAUGUACAUGUGGGGAACUUUUUGCAACUUAUUACUGAUAAGGAAUAUUACAUUGGAAAUAUAAAUACAAUUUUUCCCAGAAACUAUUUUAUGUUUUUAUAAUCUGUUUUGGUUUUAUAAACAUAUUAUAAUAGAAAUACUCUGUCAAAUUAUAAUUUAUAGACUAUGUCCCUGUCUAAAACAUUAUAUUUAGUUGGAGGGAGUAGUAAGUACCAAAGGUAUAUACAAUUUCCUCCAAUUUUUUUGGUUAACACAAGCUACAAAUUACCUAUCUCUCAUUACCUGGAGACCAAGGAUUGCUAAAGGACCAGCCCUUGCUCCCCUUUUUUUUGACGAAAUCUGGAGAGGCUGGGGCCUCUACAGCGACUUUAUUAAAGAAGUAAGUAAAAAAAGAGGAACUAUACAAGAGAAGCCCGAAAGAGCUGAACUAGAAAAGGAAAACUAAACUAGAACAAGGCUGGGAGCUAGAUUUACUAAGAAACUAGGCUUUCAGCCCAAAGAACAAGCUGAUCAUGAGAGCUAGACCUGACCCUAUGAUGCAAGAGACCCACUUCUUUUGUCAAAGUUCUUCUGCAGUUUGGGAUCGAAAUUUGGAUACCCUUGAAAAUCAGAUCAUUUCUAGCAGACCAGAUGGUCCAGGCCAGUAAAAUGAUGGCUUCCAUGAAGAAGGGAGAAUUAAGCUGGUCUUUGAUUUGAUCAAUGAUGCCAGGGAAGGAGCUCUGGAGAGGAAUAUCAACCUGAAUCAUGUUCCAACAAUGAGCAGCAAAGGGGCAGUUUAAGAACAAAUGUUCUACUGUCUCUUCCGCUAAACUAUUGCAAAGAGCACAGGUGUAGGAGUCAAGUUGCAUAUUUCUCCUUCUUAGGAUAUUCAUGGUGCUCAGCCUGUCUUUCAGAAGGAGCCAGAAAAAGACCUUGUGCUUUGGUUGACAGCAAUUCUUCCAGAGCCAUCUGAACGCAGGAUGGAUGGGAUGGUGACCUGUGAGUCUUCUGUAGACCUUAGCAGAGGCAAAUCGAUCAGAGCCCCAGCAAUAGUGCCACUUGUCAUUAGCAUCCGAGGUUGCAAUCCCAUCGAUGGCCUGCUGAACUUCUUGGAGCUGUUGAAAAGCAGUGAGGAACAAGGGUAAGUGCACCAAAUCAGUGAAGUCAUUUGCCUCAAAGGCUUUUUGGGCUGUAAUUUGCUUGUUUCGGGCAAAGGAGAAUAAUUCUAGAUUUGAAGAUGCAAGAGGACCAGAAUGAAGCCAGGAGUCAUGCCAGAAAAGAACUGAGGUGCCACUGCUGAUAUGAGGGCUGGCAAUGUUCUUGAAAACUUGGAGAAGUUUUAAGAUGUCUUUCCAACAAAAAGAGCCCUUCCUAGUAUGACUGGGGAGCUUGCUACUUUUAUAAUGUUUCUCCCAGACCAGUUGGACCCAGGGGAUGUCCAACUUGUUGAAGAAUUUGUGCAGAUUUUUCAAAAGAAGGGCUCUAUUAUGUUUUUCCAAAUCAAUUACACCUAGACCCCCCUCAUCUUUUGGGGCACAAACUAAUUUCUAGGCAGCCUUGGGCAUGGAUUUUGGGUUGAUAGCAGAUCCUCUCCAAAGGCAAUGCUUUCUGAACUUGUCAAUCUGCUUGAUAACCCCUUUAGGGAGCUGCAGGGUACACAUGAAAAAGGUGGGGAGAGCAGAGAGCACUGCAUUGGUAAUCUGGAGCCUACCAGCCUGGCUUAGAAGAGAGGAGAUCCCUCCUAAUCUUCUCUCACAUUUAUUAACAAGGGGCAAAAAAUCCUGAAAUUUGGGUCUGUCAAUGCAAAGUGGGAGACCCAGAUAGGUAAAAGGAAGAGUGCCCUUGGAGCAUCCAAAGGUAGCAGCAAGCACAUCUAGCUUUUCAGCAGAAAUAUUAAUUGGAACCAUCAUAGACUUGGAGAAAUUAACCUUGAGACCAGUUGACAUGGAAAAACUAUUGAGUAAGGAUUUCAAAAAAAACAGCUGCUUAGCAUCACCCUCCAUGACAAUUAAAGUGUCAUCAGCAUACUGAAUAACCGGAAAUGCAUUUUCUGAAGACAUUGGGAUGGGUAGCCUGAGUUGACCCAUAGCCAUUGCUUUGUUGAUCAUAGACUGAAGAAAGUCAGCAGCAAUGACAAACAGGAGGGGUGAGAGGGGGUCACCUUGACUGACCCCCCGUUUACAGUGAAUUGUCUUGCCAGGUACCCCAUUGAGCAUAACUGCAGAUGUGCCAGAGGCAAAGAUCGCCUCCAUCCACUUUAUCCAUUUCUGACCAAAGCCCAUAGCUCUCAUUAUGGUGAUCAUAGCUUGAUGUUCAAUCUUGUCAAAGGCCUUUUGGGCUGUUGCAACUGAUGUUGCUGGACAGCAACAGCCCAAGGGUCCCAAUCAUUUUCAUCUUCCACCUCUGGUCCCUCUUCCUGAUUUUGCUGGGCCUGCAAGCCCAGAUUGUUCUGUUCAUCUUCAUCAUCCUGGGCUACAUUCAGAUCUAGCCCAAUACCAGGCUGUCCCAGGCCGAAGAAAUCAAAUGGCAGCCCUGCAAUUGGCUGAUUAGGAACUGGCUCUUCAUCAGGAAGUUCAGCACCAAGCAAAUUAUUCUGAAGAAUCUCACACUGCACAGUCCAUGAUCUACCCUCGAAACCAGGUGACUCAGAGAAGACCACAAAGUGGGGGGACCGACUGAGUAUCAAUAACUCUAGCUCUGAUGAUUGACCUAGUUAGGCUGCUUCUUUCUUUCUGCCAGAAAAGAAGUUUGCCAUAAGACCCAAUAGCAUCUUGGAAGAACUGCUCCUCUUGGAAAUUAGGCGGAAAGCCCAACAUCAUAAUCCAGCAUUCAGAGUUAAACAGCACACUACGCGCAUUCCUGCCUUCAUCAUGUUUAAUAAAAUCAAAGAAGAGGUUCUGGAAGGCGAUAGGCCCCUGCUGAACAAGAAUGUCUCUAUCAAGCGCACGAGCAAAGCGAACGUAAGCCUGGCCUAAGCAGCAAGGUUGAAUCUCAACCACCCCAAUCCUUCUGGCAUUACAGAAUAGGCGAAUCACCUCUUCAACAUCGUCGAAGUCCAGCGCAACAUCCGGGAGCGGGUUUAGGUUGACGAUGGCAAGAUCAUCGUUCUUGGGGGCUUCAUCGUUGUUGGGGACGACUCUUCUAGAUGCCACCGCACGCACCAUGGCCGGCCUGUUGGGAGUCUCUUCCCACACCAUGUUGCGGGGGACAAAAGGUCGUGGGUCGAUCCUCUGGAACGCCAUUGGAGAACACGGGUGAUCAGUGGGGGGCUCACUGCCAGGCAAUGGCGCGCUAUACUGUAGCUCAAAGUUGGAGUUUUCUACUUCGGGAGCUGAGGUGGCCGAACGGGGUGAAGAGAACGAGGAAAGACGAAGCGUCUACGAAGCUGGCGCUACAUUAAGAGGGUCAAGGGAAGGUGAGGGGACAGCCGGAGCGCCCUGGCCCAAGGAUGGGGCCAAAAUGGGCCGAUUGAGCGCCUGCACGGCCCAAGAAGGCGAAAGGGCAUGAAACGCCUCUCCAAAGGACUUAAACACAGGUGGCUGCGACGGACCCGAGGCAGCGUGGUGCCGGAACCAAUUCGACCUCAAGACAGAAGCCGCAUUCUCAUUAAGGCAUUUUGAACUUUGUCCCCCAUUGAAGGCCUUGGCGGGACACGAGGCGAAAUCGUGGCCCGAGAGGCGGCAGCCAGAGCACCGGAUAGGCCAACGACAACUGUGCCUCUCAUGCCCAGGAAGGAGGCAUCUAGGGCAAGGCAAUGGGCGGCGCGCCACCGCAUCACGACGCCGGAGCGGAGGAGGACGCCGAGGCCGCCCAGCAGAAGGCCCGCCUUGGGGAAAAGAAAGCCUAUCAAAAACGGAUGGGCGCCUGCCAAGAGAGUUACGAUCAAGAACAGGGGUCUUCUUAGCUGCAGAUAUUUUCUACACCACCUUAGUCUAUCUGCCACUUCAACCAUUUCUGGGCGCAGUUUGUCUUCCAAUCUCAAGCAUUCGACUGCUAGCUUUGCAAUAUUAUCAAGCACCUUCAUGUUCUCUUUUCCAUACACAAUUUCCUCAUCAAACAUUUAUCUUAUCCUUUUCCCUCUUUUAACACAGAAAUUUUGAAUAAGGUAAAGAUUGCCAUCGUCUGCCACUUUCUUUCUGGUGAUCAUUUCCACCAAAACAACCCCAAAGCUAUAUAUGUCACACUUGGACGUAAGAAUCCCAGUCUGACCGUAUAGAGGAUCCAGGUAACCUAUAGAACCAAUGAUAUUUUUGGUUUGCUGGGCCCCAUCAGAAGAAAUCAAUCUCGCUAUUCCAAAAUCUGAUAUCUUGGGUUCAAACGUUUGUCCAAACGUUUGUCCAAAGGGAAGGAGGCAAGAUUUCCGUUAGAGAUAAGUUCCAUAACAAUUGUUAGCGCAUUUUCUUCAGUGCAGCAACCCAAAAGUCUAACCACAUUCUUGUGGUUUAUUUGAGAAUGCACUAUAACCUCCUUGGCAAAAGCUUCUUUCCUUGUUCCAUCUUUGUAUUUCUUUACUGCCACCAGAUGCUGAUCAUCCAAUACUCCUUUGUAAACCGCACCAAAGGCCCCUUUCCCUAGCAAAGUGCUAUUGGUAAUGAGCUCUAUCUCCCUUUCCAUGAAAGAUCUUAGGUUGUAGUUAUUGUUCACUCUUUGAAGAACCACAUGUCCAUUAAAUUGAAGGAAAUCUCUGAGACUGUUCCCUUGGUAGUCCAUGUCUGGAAUUGGAAAGCGGUGUAAUGCUUAGUCUAGUGUAACAUGAUGGAAGAUGUUAAUGCAUUAUCAGUAUAUAUUACUCUUUUUCUCUCUGAAAUCAUGGUUUCUGAAUAUUUUGCGCCGCUGAUUAAGAUAAUGGGGGUGGGGGUGAGACCUUUUCUUUCUUUCUUUUCUUUCUAUAAAGCAAAAAAUGCUUGAGACACUAGCUGCAGCUCUGGUUUGGAGAUCUACUAGAGACGUCUAGGUGCUCCAUCCACACCACAAGCCCUUUUGAUCAGGUGGGAUCCCGACGGGUUCAGAAACGCCAGCGGCGCCAUCCAUGCUGAACAUGCGCAAGCAAAAUCACCAUUUUAUCAGUGCAUAUUCUCCCUCCGGUAUGUAUAUAUACAUCGUCUUCAAAGAGCGUGUGGAUACAUGUAGCCGGUAGCCCCAAGGAUCGUUCGCUGAUCGCCCACAAGCUCAUAAAAAUUCAGAGAAUCCAAUCCAAUUUUUCGCUAUGUUGACGGAAAGUCGGCAAUUCUAAGCCAAAACGAACCAACUACAUCCAUUCCAACCCUAUAGUCAAAUCAAAUACGAGCUUGAAAUUACCAAGUAGUGCUAGCAUACUAGAGAUACGUACCGCGGGCUCCCGUGGUUUGGUGGUCGUACGCCGAUGAACUUGAACACUUGAGCAGCCGCCCAGUUAUCCA